AUCUAGCUGAUGAGUCCCAAAAUAGGACGAAACAUAAGUCUUGCAU
rnacentral:hammerhead_ribozyme from 1 species